CCUGAUGUACAUGAGCAUUUAAAUUGGCUGCUGCGAUUGAAGAAUACGUAUAUUAACAUAUGAAAUUAUUGAGCCUCAGGAUAAUAUCCACAAUAUAAUCCAUACCGCCAAAAGUAUGUAUGUCCCAUGCAUAAUUGAACAAAAAGAAAAGUUUAUUAAUAUUUUGUUGUUGUCUUCUGCAAAUGCUAGUACUGCUAGUCUGCUAUCAUUAUCAUCAUUGAUAUUCCAGAAAAAAUAAAUAAAAUAAAUAUAAAGAAAAAACAAACAAACACAAUAAGUAAAGCUACACUAUUAGGUAAUAAUUAAAGACAUUUUAAGGCUAAAACUUAGUUAUAAAAUACACGAACAUUAAAAGGCCAAGACCAAGGAAACAUAAAUGCUUUUUACUUUCAUCAAUGUCAAAA
rnacentral:lncRNA from 1 species